AGUUGUUCUCCUGGGGAAAAUUUGUCUUGAAAACAAAUUCAAAGUGUUCAAUUCACUUAAUAACUU
rnacentral:tRNA from 1 species